rnacentral:rRNA from 1 species
UACGUAGGGUGCAAGCGUUGCCCGGAUUUAUUGGGCGUAAAGGGCGCGUAGGCGGCUCUGCACGUUCGUUGUGAAAUCGCCCGGCUCAACUGGGCGGGGUCAGCGGAUACGGCAGAGCUUGAGCAAGCUAGGGGGCAAUGGAAUUCCCGGUGUAGUGGUGGAAUGCGUAGAUAUCGGGAAGAACACCCGUGGCGAAGGCGGCACUCUGGGACGGUACUGACGCUGAGACGCGAAAGCGUGGGGAGCGAACAGG